GCCCUGCUCACACGGCCCGGGCCGGCCCCUAGUCCCCGCUCUCCCAGACUCGUGUAUAUUGGCGAGCUGGAUGCAGGCUUUGCCAUGCAAGGGUUUUUUUGUUGUUGUCGAAAUCUUGUUGGUCUCGUAAAACAUCCCGUCUCUACCACGAGUCCUGGUUGCCUUUUCCUCGAGACCAACAUGGCCCAGCCUGGAUACGAACUUUCAUUUCUACCCAGGAGAACUUCGACCAUCUUCUCUCCGAUGCCUGACGAAGGGUGUUUGUGCCCGAAAGCUUGCAAUUAAAGAAGAUUUUGUUGCGAAAAUCUUGUUGGUCUAAUAAAAGAUAUCUCUAUCACGA